rnacentral:rRNA from 1 species
AACGAACGCUGGCGGCAGGCUUACCACAUGCAAGUCGAGCGCCCCGCAAGGGGAGCGGCCGACGGGUGGGUAACGCGUGGGAAUCUACCCAUCUCUACGGAAUAACGCAUGGAAACGUGUGCUAAUACCUUAUACGCCCUUCCGGUGAAAGACUUAUCGGUAAUGGAUGAGCCAGCGAUGGAUUAGCUAGUUGGUGGGGUAAAGGCUUACCAAGGCGACGAUCCAUAGCUGGUCUGAGAGGAUGAUCAGCCACACUGGGACUGAGUAACGGCGCAGACUCCUACGGGAGGCAGAAGUGGGGAAUAUUGGACAAUGGGCGCAAGCCUGAUCCAGCCAUGCCGCGUGAGUGAUGAAGGCCCUAGUGUUGUAAAGCUCUUUCACCGGUGAAGAUAAUGACGGUAACCGGAGAAGAAGCCCCGGCUAACUUCGUGCCAGCAGCCGCCGUAAAAC